rnacentral:lncRNA from 1 species
UUUUUUUAACAGAAAAUAUAUAGAUGGGUAACGGGGUAUACAAAAUAAAGUACAAGGACUAAACUGAUAACCAAAAUAGAAUACAGAGGCCAAACUGAUAAAAAAUAGUAUACGUACUAAUGUAAGGAUUUAGCUAUAGUGCAGGGACCAGAAGAGAUAUUGAGCCUUAAAUUUAUUUUUGAAGGCAUCCAUAUGAUAGAAGCACCAAUUUGGGUAAAAUAUCGUAUUGUGCACCCAUCCCGGGUAAAAACUGCCCCGUCAGGGCCCCUUCCUCUCACCCGAGUCUUGGCCGUUGCUUUUUGAUUCUCUGACAGACAGACAGACACUUCAAAUGUAGUUUUUGUUGUUGUUCCUUAGAUAUACGAUGGACAGUAUAGACAGCUUCCGAUCAGACGAAGACCAGUCUAGUUUCUCUUACCAAGUUUCAUAUGGGUCCUACAGUUAAUAAUCUUAGCCAGGUCUCCCGUCAAACGUCUUGGGAUAAGAGAAGUAAGAGACCAAACGGUGUUGAGGUUGAGAGGCCUUGGUUAUUCUGGCGACCGACAACAGCAAGCACCGUCUCACACUUUGAAGCACUCGUACAUACUUAUACUCUUUUAAGACUGGGCACAAUGAUCUGAAGGGCAGAGCCAAAUGACCCAAAAUUUCCUAAAAGAAAGUGCAGCAGGUCAUGCGAGAGAGGAAUAGGAUUUACUGUUGGUAUAAAGCCAUAAACGAGUGGCCAAGGAUCUAAAAUUCAAAGCGCAUAGGUAGCCAUCGAUUGAGUUUUCUCAACGGGGAUUCAUGCUCAAUGAACAAUAAACUAGAACACAGGUAAAAUCAAGAAACAAUAAAAAGAAGAUUGAUCUUCAUUGAAAUCACUUGACUGAAUUACUUUCACAAAUUAUCUGCUGAUGGAUAUUUACUACACGUGACUGCUAUAGCUAAGCUGAGUUAGCUAGGUUAGCAUACUGCUAAACUUAAGCUUGGUUAGCUUAAUUCGCACUAUUAUGAUUACAAUAAUAAAAAAAUAUAAAUUUGAGUGUAAUUAAAUUGUAUUAUUUUUUAAUUUAAAAAUAUAGAUAAUAAGAAUUAUAUAAAAGAAAAAACUUCAAAAACAUAAUGAUAACUCUUUGCUGCAAUUUCAAAAUUGCAUUCAUAUCUUGAAAAAAAACAAAUCGAUGACUCUGGCUUUACAGCGCCAUUAGAUCAAAAUGUCGUGAUAAAAAAAACUUUUAUUAUAUAUAUUUAUUAUAAAAGAAAAAUAUUUGAUAUAUUGUGAAUACAUUUUUUUAGAUUUUACAAGUGUGAAAAUUUAAUAAAUAUAUUAUAGAGUGUAAUAAAAAAAUAAAAAAUAUAUAUAUAAUAUAACAUUUAUUAUAUCUUUGACUCGCUUAUGAAGUUUAAAAAUUUUCAUUAACCAUGUAUCUAAUAAAUAUCUUAUUAUAAAUUUAAUUGAAUCAAAUUCAUCUUUAAAAAAAUAAGAGAGAGACAGAGUUGGACUUAUACUAACCUGCCCAAACUUGAACAGCUAUAAUGAAAAAUCAAGUGGGGAGAUAGAUUUUUUUUUUGACAAAAAGUGGGGAGAUAGAUAUUUGAGGGACAUGGGGUUGUUUUAUAAGAUAAGGUUAUGGCAUUGUUCGGGGGCAAAAGCAAAACGAAGGCAGGCAGCGGAAGAUCGGUACUGAGGUAGGGACAUAUAGAUUGGGGUAAGAGAUUACUCAACUGAAAAAAGUGUACACUCCGUAAUUAAGAGAGACAUAAUCUAUGGAUGAUGCAUUGCAGCUUCUUCAUCUCUGUAUUUUUAUAAUUUAUCCUUAUUUGGUCCUGGUCCUGAUCCUGCUUCAUCUUAUUAUCUUCCAAUAGAAACUUGCAACGUAAAUAAUUCUACAAUUCCUUACACAUACAAGUGUCACGGGCCGCAGUUCAAAGCCUGUGACCAUCGCACCAAAUACAUCCAAUGGAGG